rnacentral:rRNA from 1 species
UACGGAGGGUGCGAGCGUUGUCCGGAAUCAUUGGGCGUAAAGGGCGCGUAGGUGGCGGCUUAAGCGUGCGGUGAAAGCUCGGGGCUCAACCUCGGAUCGGCCGUGGCGACUCGUGGGCUGGAGCACUGUAGAGGCGGGUGGAAUUCCGGGUGGAGUGGUGAAAUGCGUAGAGAUCCGGAGGAACACCAAAGGCGAAGGCAGUGUCCUGGGGAGUACCUGACGCUCAGGUGCGAAAGCCAGGGGAGCGAACGGG